GCGUAAGGUAAGGGCAAUUCGUGGAUGCCUUGGCGCAUACAGGCGAUGAAGGACGUGGCACGCUGCGAUAAGCUGCGGUGAGGUGUGAGCAACCUUUGACCCGCAGAUUUCCGAAUGGGGAAACCCACCUAUCCCGUUUAACUUGGACUGGAGGAAAAGACAUCAACCGAGAUUCCGUUAGUAGUGGCGAGCGAACGCGGACCAGGCCAGUGCCUGGAGUUCAACUAGCAGAACAGUUUGGAAAGACUGGCCAUAGCGGGUGACAGCCCCGUAUGCGAAAGUGAGACUUCAGGACUCGAGUAGGGCGGAACACGUGUAAUUCUGUCUGAACAUAGGGGGACCACCCUCUAAGCCUAAAUAC
rnacentral:ncRNA from 1 species